rnacentral:rRNA from 1 species
GCCUUUGCUCGAAUACGUUAGCAUGGAAUAAUAAAAUAGGGCGUGCGUUUCUAUUUUGUUGGUUUCUAGAGACGCCGCAAUGAUUAACAGGAACAGUCGGGGGCAUCAGUAUUCCGUUGUCAGAGGUGAAAUUCUUGGAUUUACUGAAGACUAACUACUGCGAAAGCAUUUGCCAAGGAUGUUUUCAUUAAUCAGUGAACGAAAGUUAGGGGAUCGAAGACGAUCAGAUACCGUCGUAGUCUUAACCGUAAACUAUGCCGACUAGGGAUCGGGCGAUGUUCUUUUUCUGACUCGCUCGGCACCUUACGAAAAAUCAAAGUUUUUGGGUUCUGGGGGGAUUAUGGUCGCAAGGCUGAAACUUAAAAAAAUUGACGGAAGGUCACCACCAGGCGUGGAGCCUGCGGCUUAAUUUGACUCAACACGGGGAAACUCACCAGGUCCAGAUGAAAUAAGGAUUGACAGAUUGAGAGCUCUUUCUUGAUUUUUCGGGUGGUGGUGCAUGGCCGUUCUUAUUUCGUGGGGUGAUUUGUCUGCUUAAUUGCGAUAA